rnacentral:rRNA from 1 species
CAGUAGCCGCGGGAAUACGAAGGGGGCUAGCGUUGUUCGGAAUUACUGGGCGUAAAGCGCACGUAGGCGGAUAUUUAAGUCAGGGGUGAAAUCCCGCAGCUCAACUGCGGAACUGCCUUUGAUACUGGGUAUCUUGAGUAUGGAAGAGGUUAGUGGAAUUGCGAGUGUAGAGGUGAAAUUCGUAGAUAUUCGCAGGAACACCAGUGGCGAAGGCGGCUAACCGGUCCAUAACUGACGCUGAGGUGCGAAAGCGUGGGGAGCAAACAGGAUUAGAUACCCGAGUAGUCCCUGUCUCUUAUAC